ensembl:snRNA U6 U6 spliceosomal RNA
GUGCUUGCUUUGGCAGCACAGGUGCGGUAAUUGGACUGGUACAGAGAAUAUUGCUUAGCAUGCCCCUACACAAGAAUGACAUGCAAAUUCACUAAGCAUUUCCUUUCUUU